CCGCGUUCCCGCCACCUGAAUCUGCAUCCCUGUUUGCCUGGGGCGAGAUCCCCUCCUGGCCUUAGGAAGGGUGACCUCAUAAUGGCAGGACUUGAGUCCCCUGGUUGCCCAGCAUCUCACAAUGGCAAUAUUUGUGGGCAACUCCAGGAGGAUGUAGCAGCAAGUUAUCUGGGCAAAGCCCUCUUUGGAAUUCAG